rnacentral:lncRNA from 1 species
GGGGAUGAAACUGUUCCACCUCAAAUCAUCAGGCAUUAGUUAGAUUCUCAUAAGGAGCCCGCAACCUAGAUCCGUCCUGUGCACACUUUACUAUAGGGUUCGAGCUCCUAUGAGAAUCUCAAGCUGCCGCUGAUCUGACCGGAGGCGGAGCUCAGGUGGUGAUGCUCACUCGCCCACUGCUCACCUCCUGCUCUGCAGCUCGGUUCCCCACAGGCUGCCAAACAGUACGGGUCUGUGGCUCGGGUCUGUGGCUUGGGGUUGGGCUACAUAUAUGAGUUAGUCUGUGGGUAGCUUGUCUGGUUUUGGGGUUUUUAGCUAAAGUUCUCUUGUUAAUUCAUUACAUAAAAGGUAUAAAGGAUUAAUGCUGGUCAGAAGGAUGAUUCAUGUCUUGAGCAAGAUGGAGUAGGAUGGUGUGAGAUUUCAUCAUACUAUUCAGAA